GUGCUCACUUUGGCAGCACAUGUACGAAAAUUGGAUACAAAGAAAAUUGGCACGGCCUCUGCACAAGGAUGACACACAAACCCAUGGAGUGUUUCAUAUUUUU
rfam:Otolemur garnettii contig182952, whole genome shotgun sequence.